rnacentral:ncRNA from 1 species
GAGUAACGCAAACGUUGGUGAGAAUCCAAUGCCUCGAAAACCUAAGAGUUCCUCCGCAAGGUUCGUCCAACCCGGAGUGUGAGUCAAGACCUAAGAUCAGGCCGAAAGGCGUAGUCGAUGGACAACAAGUGAAUAUUCUUGUACUACCCUUUGUUGGUCCCGAGGGACAGAGGAGGCUAGGUUAGCCGAAAGAUGGUUAUCGGUUCAAGGANGCAUGGUGCCCCUGCUUUUUCAGGAUAAUAAGGGGUAGAAAAAAUGCCUCAAGCCAAAGUUUGAGUACCAGGCGCUACAACGCUGAAGUAAUCCAUGCCAUACUCCCAAGAAAAGCUCGAACGACCUUCAACAAAUGGGUACCUGUACCCGAAACAGACACAGGUGGGUAGGUAAAGAAUACCUAGAGGCGCGAGACAACUCUCUCUAAAAGGAACUCAGCAAAAUAACACCAUAACUUCGGGAGAAGGAGUGCCUCCUCACAAAGGGGGUUGCAGUGACCAGGCCCGGAUGUUUUUCAAAUAUAUAAUUUAAGAAUUUGCUAUUAGCAAAAAAUCAAAAUAAAGUACACUUUUUUUGUAAAAAGUACUGUUUCA